rnacentral:rRNA from 1 species
CAGCCGCCACGGUAAUACGUAGGUGGCAAGCGUUGUCCGGAAUUAUUGGGCGUAAAGGGCUCGCAGGCGGUUUCUUAAGUCUGAUGUGAAAGCCCCCGGCUCAACCGGGGAGGGUCAUUGGAAACUGGGAAACUUAAGUGCAGAAGAGGAGAGUGGGAUUCCACGUGUAGCGGUGAAAUGCGUAGAGAUGUGGAGGAACACCAGUGGCGAAGGCGACUCUCUGGUCCGUAUCUGACGCUGAGGAGCGAAAGCGUGGGGAGCGAACAGGAUUAGAUACCCGAGUAGUCCCUGUCUCUUAUAC